UUCUAUGGAGAGUUUGAUCCUGGCUCAGGACGAACGCUGGCGGCGUGCUUUACACAUGCAAGUCGAGCGAUGAGAUCCCUUCGGGGAUGGAUUAGCGGCGAACGGGUGAGGAACACG
rnacentral:rRNA from 1 species